CAAGAAGAUAGGAAAGGAACAAAAGAAGGAAAGAAAUCACCAAUUGUGUAAACUUGGGCUAGAUACUUAAAUUCUUUGGAACUCAGUUUCCUCACCUGCUUAUCUCAGAUAAGUCUCAAGUGAGAUAAUACAGGAGAAUACAUUCUAAUUGCAGAGAGCUGUAGAACUACACAGCCUCUAUUUUCAGUAGCCAGAAGUCAAUGAAGUAACCCCACAGGCCUUUGACCUGAGAAUUUUCAGGUAGAGACUUCUUCAUGGAUAAUCCUGAAGAGAUAAAUGCAAGGCAGAGAAGAAUGGGGUAGUCAAAGAUGAGUGUUGCAAAGAAAUACUUCUCUGCCUCCCACCAGGGACCAGAAGUUUCACCGCCUUUUUCCAGACCUCUAGGAGAACUGGUUGGAUGAGGUGGUUGGAUGGCAUCACCGACUCAAUGGACAUGAGUUUGGGUAGACUCCAGGAGUUGGUGAUGGACAGGGAGGCCUGGCGUGCUGCAGUCCAUGGGGUCACAAAGAAUUGGACACAACUGAGCGACUGAACUGAACUGAACUGAAGGACAACUAUUCCUCCCUGGCUUCAGCAAUACGUGAACCGUGAACUUCCUGACGUUCAAGCUGGUUUUAGAAAAGGCAGAGGAAUCAGAGAUCAAACUGCCAACAUCCGCUGGAUCAUGGAAACAGCAAGAGAGUUC
ensembl:lncRNA